rnacentral:rRNA from 1 species
AUUGAACGCUGGCGGCGUGCCUAACACAUGCAAGUCGAGCGGUAACAGGUGUAGCAAUACAUGCUGACGAGCGGCGAACGGGUGAGUAAUGCUUCGGAAUCUACCCAAUGGUGGGGAAUAACCAGCCGAAAGGUUGGCUAAUACCGCAUACGUCCUACGGGAGAAAGCAGGGGAUCGUAAGACCUUGCGCCAAUGGAUGAGCCGAAGUCGGAUUAGCUAGUUGGAGGGUAACGGCCUACCAAGGCGACGAUCCAUAGCUGGUCUGAGAGGACGACCAGCCACACUGGGACUGAGACACGGCCCAGACUCCUACGGGAGGCAGCAGUGGGGAAUAUUGGACAAUGGGGGAAACCCUGAUCCAGCGACGCCGCGUGUGUGAAGAAGGCCUGCGGGUUGUAAAGCACUUUUAGU